rnacentral:lncRNA from 1 species
AGCUCUUCUUAUAGCUCCCCUGCUCUUUCCUCUUCUUGAACUGCUGGGUGCCAGCCUCAGUUCAGCUCUUUCCCCCCACCCUCUGCUCAAGGCCUAGGAGGACAGCAGCUGUCCCUACUUGCCGCACUGUGGGGAGGUGCCUGUGCUCGCUGCUCUGCUGUUGAAGAGCUCAGUGAAGCAUAUGAUGUGACUGUGGAUAUCCAACUGCUUUAGCUGACAUCUUGAAGGAAAGCAGGAGAGAGACCUGGGCCCUGACCUUCCUUUGUCACCAUCAGCUUGUGACAUCUUCUCAGGCCAGCCCUAGCCAACUCUGUGACUGUUUCCACAGGCGUCGAUGUUGGCAUCAUGUCUAACUUCUGCUGCUUCUCAAGGUCGCCAUGAUCAUCUCAUUAGUGAGCAGAUGUAAAGUAUUUGUAAAAAGGCAUCAUGCAAAAACAAAGUUCAUUGUUAUUCAUCCUUUUCCUUCCCAAAUAAACCAAAGUGAGGCCAAGCUGUUUACUUGUUUACCCUAACAUGAAGGGCCACUGCAAAGCCUGAGGCUCAAAGUAUCACAGAAAGAAUUGAAAGGCAAGGUUGUCAGACAGAUAUGGCAGCUAAGACACCAACUGAGGAAUGUUAUCAAUGUAGCUCCGUGAAAUUGCCAUAUUUUACAUCCUGCAGUUCUGCAGUCAAGUGGUGGUAUUUUUGUCACAGCCCACAUCAAAGCCCAGAUGGUGUGAGGGAGGGAUGGAAAUGGGGCUCCAUAACCCCCAGGAACUCUGAAG